rnacentral:rRNA from 1 species
UUCAGUGCUGGCUCUUACAAGGGCAUGUGCACGUUGGAAGGCAUAUAUCCAACACCCUCUUGUGAACCAUUGGCCUUUGCUGGCUUCGGCUGGUCGAGGAUUUACACAAACACGAAUGUAAUGAAAUAAUGUUGUGCUCAGCACUAAUAUACAACUUUCAACAACGGAUCUCUUGGCUCUCGCAUCGAUGAAGAACGCAGCGAAAUGCGAUAAGUAAUGUGAAUUGCAGAAUUCAGUGAAUCAUCGAAUCUUUGAACGCACCUUGCACCCUUUGGUAUUCCGAAGGGUAUGCUCGUUUGAGUGUCAUUAUACUCUCACACUCUCUGAUUAGAGAGCGGUGGACGUGGAUGUUGCCUGGUGCUUGUUGUCAGGCUCAUCUGAAAUGAGUUAGUACGACUCCUAGUUAAACAUAGUACGGCGUUAUAACUAAACCCUCGCUGUUUCUUUGUCUGAUUAGGAGCCUUGUGCUUCGAACCGUCUUCGGACAAUAUCUGAUAACUUGACCUCAAAUCGAGUAGGAUUACCCGCUGAACUUAAGCAUAUCAAUAAGGCGGAGGAA